AUGCGAUAAGUAGUGUGAAUUGCAGAAUUCAGUGAAUCAUCGAAUCUUUGAACGCACAUUGCGCCCCUUGGUAUUCCAUGGGGCAUGCCUGUUCGAGCGUCAUUUACACCCUCAAGCUUUUGCUUGGUGUUGGGCGUCUGUCUAUGGACUCGCCCCAAAGGUAUUGGCAGCGGUCCUGCCAGGCCUUCCUAAUUGCGCAGCACUGUUCGCGCUACUUGGAGCCUGUUUGCAGGAUUCAGCAUCCAUCAAGUCCUUCUUUAACUUGACCUCGAAUCAGGUAGGGAUACCCGCUGAACUUAA
rnacentral:misc_RNA from 1 species